GUUCUACCAACGCUACUUUUCUGCGACGCAGGAAGCGUCCUGGCUGGCCCGCCUGAUGGCAGGACGACAGCAGGAAAUUCUGGGGGAAC
rnacentral:misc_RNA from 1 species